rnacentral:misc_RNA from 1 species
GUGAAUCAUCGAAUCUUUGAACGCAAAUUGCACUCUCUUCUGAGAGUAUGCCUGUUUGAGGUUCAGCCUAAAAUAAAUCCACGAAUUCGCUUUUUCGCGUUGACAUUCGUCGGAAAUUGGGUCAUCUUAAACUUUUGGGUUUUUUAAGCGUCUUAAAAUUUUCUUUACAAUUCCACGAACGCUUCUAAUAUUUUACUUCUUACACACUUUUAAGGUAUCCAUCUUGAUUAGACGUGGCCGUGUCA